rnacentral:rRNA from 1 species
UAUACCUGGGUGAGAAUCCUGUGUUUCGUUUGAUGUCCGCCGUGCACGGUACUUGCUCACAGAGUCACGCUCCUCGGAAUUGGAGCGUAAAUUGGGUGGUAAAUUUCAUCUAAAGCUAAAUACAGGCUCGAGACCGAUAGCAAACAAGUACCAUGAGGGAAAGAUGAAAAGGACUUUGAAAAGAGAGUUAAAAGUGUUUGAAAUCGCUGAACUGGAAGCGAAUGGAACUAGUGCUCUGGCUGAGAUUGCUGUAAGUGGCAGCCAAAUUUGAGUGUCUGAACGCAAGUCUCUCACCUGGCUGUAAGCUGUUGCUUGCAAUGU